GAUGAACGCUGGCGGCGUGCUUAACACAUGCAAGUCGAACGAAGCACUUAAGAUUGAUUCUUCGGAUGACGUCUUUUGUGACUUAGUGGCGGACGGGUGAGUAACGCGUGGGUAACCUGCCUCACACAGGGGGAUAACAGUUAGAAAUGACUGCUAAUACCGCAUAACCCGAUAGGAUCGCAUGAUCCAGACGGAAAAGAUUUAUCGGUGUGAGAUGGACCCGCGUCUGAUUAGCUAGUUGGUGAGGUAACGGCCCACCAAGGCGACGAUCAGUAGCCGGCCUGAGAGGGUGAACGGCCACAUUGGGACUGAGACACGGCCCAAACUCCUACGGGAGGCAGCAGUGGGGAAUAUUGCACAAUGGGGGAAACACUGAUGCAGCGACGCCGCGUGAGUGAAGAAGUAUUUCGGUAUGUAAAGCUCUAUCAGCAGGGAAGAAAAUGACGGUACCUGACUAAGAAGCCCCGGCUAACUACGUG
rnacentral:rRNA from 1 species